rnacentral:rRNA from 1 species
AGAAUCAACGCUGGCGGCGUGCCUAACACAUGCAAGUCGAACGAGAAAGUGGAGCAAUCCACGAGUAAAGUGGCGCACGGGUGAGUAACACGUGACUAACCUACCCUUGAGUGGGGGAUAACCUAGGGAAACCUGGGCUAAUACCGCAUAAUACCUACGGGUCAAAGGAGCAAUUCGCUUAGGCGAGGGGUCGCGGCCGAUUAGUUAGUUGGCGGGGUAAUGGCCCACCAAGACGAUGAUCGGUA